rnacentral:rRNA from 1 species
GAUGAACGCUGGCGGCGUGCCUAAUACAUGCAAGUCGAGCGAACAGACGAGGAGCUUGCUCCUCUGACGUUAGCGGCGGACGGGUGAGUAACACGUGGAUAACCUACCUAUAAGACUGGGAUAACUUCGGGAAACCGGAGCUAAUACCGGAUAAUAUAUUGAACCGCAUGGUUCAAUAGUGAAAGACGGUUUUGCUGUCACUUAUAGAUGGAUCCGCGCCGCAUUAGCUAGUUGGUAAGGUAACGGCUUACCAAGGCAACGAUGCGUAGCCGACCUGAGAGGGUGAUCGGCGACACUGGAGGUGAGACACGGUCCAGACUCCUACGGGAGGCAGCAGUAGGGAAUCUUCCGCAAUGGGCGAAAGCCUGACGGAGCAACGCCGCGUGAGUGAUGAAGGUCUUCGGAUCGUAAAACUCUGUUAUUAGGGAAGAACAGAUGUGUAAGUAACUAUGCACGUCUUGACGGUACCUAAUCAGAAAGCCACGGCUAACUACGUG